AGUACGCAAUACUAUUUGUAUAUAUAUAUAUAUAUAUAUAUAUAUAUAUAUAUAUAUAUACAUUUUUUCAUACACAUCCUAGAGUGCUAUAUAAAUACAUACAUUCUUUCAUACACAUUCAGAGUGCUUGAAGUGGAGAAAGUAAAGUAAUAGGGAGGUUUUUUGUAAAUUGAAAAAUAUUUCUUGAUUUUUAUACAUUUUUUAUUUGCCAUUUAUAUUGUUUCUAUGUGAGGUCAGUAACAAAUGCUAAUCCUAAAAGUUGUUUGAAGAGGACUCAGUGAUAAGGUUGCCAUUCAUUCAUUGAAAUAGGAAUGUCGACAGUAUUGCAAUAGUUGUUUUCAGUAAAUAACUGAGUUUUGUUCAAGUUAAAACUCACAAGCCACUGCAACCCACCUUAAAAUGACAUAAGGGACCCUUAAGGGUCCCUUAGGGGAUAAGGGGAUACUAGAGCAAAAUUUUUUUUGACCUUUUUUUUUAUAUCAAUUUAUAUUUAUAAUAGCUUAUCUUACUUUUUUGAUAAAGUUUAGCUAACAUGAAUUAAUUUUAAACAUUAAAAUUUGUUUAUAGCAAAUCUUAAUAAGGGAUCGGUAAGUGCAAAAUCAGGGCUAGCCCUUAUUCGACUUAAAUUUUACGGAAUUUUAAAACUCGAAAGAAAAACAUUUUACGGAAUGAUUUUUGUAAAUGCGCAGUUUUUAUAAGCAUGGUUUUUUUCUAUCGUGGCGUUGCAAUUAUCAAAAGCUUUAAUUUAAUAAUUAAAAAAAUAGUUUAAUAAAAUUGAUGUAAUUUGUCAAUCGUAGCAUGGUAAUUGUUCAUCCUUAUCAUUCCAGUUAAAUUGGUAUAGGUAUCUAAACUCUGUCUAGUAUCAUUGUAAUUAGUGUAAAGAUCGUAAAUAAAUGUGUUUGUUUUAAAAAUGACAAUGAGUACAUUAUACCACUUGUAGAUGAUAUAUUCAAGGGUUGACUCCUAAUGGCUGUGUAAUGAGUCAAUCAUUUUAAUGUAAUGAUAAUUUAGUUUUUAUAUCAUAAUAGACUUUAUGUUGUAAAUAUUUAAAUAUAAUAAUACUAAAACAAUUCGUGUUGUUUUAAUAUUUUGCACUAAAAUUAGAUAUAACUAAUAUACUGCUACAGUAAAUAUUUCAAGCAUUUAGAGACAAAAAAAGCAUAUCUAAAGCGUCUUUUUUUCAACAUUUUUUUAUUUUAUUGUGUCAUCAAAACUAUUUGAUAAUAAUUUUGAACUGUUACUGACUUUACAUAAUUUAGUAAUAAUUAAAAUAUAUGAUGUAGUACAUCAGUCAAAAAUAUGUUUUAAUUUAUUGUUUAUCUGAUAAAUCAAUAUCAAUUAAUCAUGCUGAUAAUGGUGUUGGAUGGAAUCCGGAAGAAUUCAAAAAAAAAAAAAAUUGUAAAAGAGUUGAAUUAAUGGUGAUAAACAACAAUAAUAUGAUAAAGGUUUUAGUUUUGCAAUGUGCAACAAGUUGUGAAGCCCUGAAAGAAACUUUAAAGUUUAUUUAUGAAAUGAAAAUAAAAUACAAUCAAUAAAUUUUAUACAAACUUAUUUCAACUUGGUCUGUGGCUUAAAUAGAUGGCUGCCUCCAGUGUAUGUAAAUAUAAAAUACAAUACUAUGUUUAUUUAUAUGUUUAUAUCUUCUGUUUAUUUAGUUCUUUAUGAUUUUUUUAUUUUUUUUAAAGAAAUUAUUAUCCAAUUUUUUUUUUAAUCCAUCCACUUCAUACAGCUUCUAAGGACUCAAAUUUUUUCAAUCAAGUUUUUUGUUCUGAGUCAAUGGUAAUGUUUUAUUUAUUGUAACAGUUUAGACAGUUUGUUAAGUUUUUAUUUUUUAUUCAUAAAAUAGUUUGAUAUUUUCGGCUCAGCAUGCCCAGGAUACUGUUGUUAAAUCAGCUUUAAAGCCCCUGCCACCGCUAAAAACUAAUGAUGCCAAUGUUAUUUAAAUGAUUUUUUUGAUGUUAUUUAAAUUUCAAGUUUUUACAUAUUUUUAGAAUACAAAAGAAACAAAUAUCUAAACAUCAUCAGGUGUAUGUAAUAUAAUUUUAAAAACAGAUAAUUUUCCUAUAAUUUUUUAAAUGACAAGUUUUUGAUACAGCUUUUUAUUGUUUUAGUAUUGCUCUUCAAUAACUACAAGUUGUCAAAUUGAUGUUUCAAGCGUUUUACAGACAGAUAAUCAGUAAAAAUAUGCAUGAUAGUAUGGUUAGUAUUUGCAAUCGUUUAAAUGGUGAACCAUCUAGUCCAUAAGGUUUGAAUAUUUUAUAUUGCUUAGGCUCAGUAUUUAUUUUUUAUGUUUUUUCUUGGAAAAAAGAAUUAUUAUUUGUUUUAAGUAACAUUAGUAACAGGUCAUUUUCUUUUAUAAGAGGCACUUUCCUUCAUAACAGGUCACUUUCUUAUAAGUGCGCACAUUUUUUGUGAACUAAAUUAUAUUCAAUUUAAUUUGACAAGCUUUGAACAGGGAAAGCUUUGAGGCAGGGAAAGUUGGAAGAACUUUUUUGUAAUGAUCCUGUUGAUCAGAAUAUCAGCCAAAUCCAGUUCCCAAAUUUCAAUUCUGUACUACAAUAUUCUGAAGUUAAAAAGCACCCAAAGAAUAUGGCUGUUAUGGAUGAUGCUUGAAGGAGGGUUGACUGCCUGUGACCAUAUUUCAAGAGUGCUUAAUAAGUAGCUGACACAUGACACACAAAAAAAUGAUCAACAGGCCCGGAACACAUGGCAAAAGUUUUUUGAUCACCUGGAAAAUCUGCUUAAAAUUUUAACUAUUCAAUUAUUCCCCGGCAUCACGAAAAACGAAGUUGAGUUAGAAGUUGCACGAUUUUUUAUUAACGUCAAAGAUUGCCCUGGUGGUCGGCUACGGUGCUGUAAGAAAACAGCAGUUUCGAUUGACGCGAAAGAUACAGACAGUGACGAGAGAAGUAAAGAGGACAACGAAGAUAAGGCUCCACGAUUAAAGAAGCGAAAGACAUCUUUAAAUAAAUAAUAUCUUGUAUUUUGAAUAGCAUUGCUAUGUAAAUAAUAUGUAGUAUAUAACAGUUUAUGUAACAUGAAUGGUAAUAACAAAUAUAUUUAAAAAAUA